UGCUCCUACAUGGUGUAACAAUACAUCAUGUAGAUGUAUAUAAUGAACAGACUAGGUCUAUACUGCUCCUACAUGGUGUAACAAUACAUCAUGUAGAUGUAUAUAAUGAACAGACUAGGUCUAUACUGCUCCUACAUGGUGUAACAAUACAUCAUGUAGAUGUAUAUAAUGACCAGACUAGGUCUAUACUGCUCCUACAUGGUGUAACAAUACAUCAUGUAGAUGUAUAUAAUGAACAGACUAGGUCUAUACUGCUCCUACAUGGUGUAACAAUACAUCAUGUAGAUGUAUAUAAUGAACAGACUAGGUCUAUACUGCUCCUACAUGGUGUAACAAUACAUCAUGUAUAUAAUGAACAGACUAGGUCUAUACUGCUCCUACAUGGUAUAACAAUACAUCAUGUAGAUGUAUAUAAUGAACAGACUAGGUCUAUACUGCUCCUACAUGGUGUAACAAUACAUCAUGUAGAUGUAUAUAAUGAACAGACUAGGUCUAUACUGCUCCUACAUGGUGUAACAAUACAUCAUGUAGAUGUAUAUAAUGAACAGACUAGGUCUAUACUGCUCCUACAUGGUGUAACAAUACAUCAUGUAGAUGUAUAUAAUGAACAGACUAGGUCUAUACUGCUCCUACACGGUGUAACAAUACAUCAUGUAGAUGUAUAUAAUGAACAGACUAGGUCUAUACUGCUCCUACAUGGUGUAACAAUACAUCAUGUAGAUGUAUAUAAUGAACAGACUAGGUCUAUACUGCUCCUACAUGGUGUAACAUCAUGUAGAUGUAUAUAAUGAACAGACUAGGUCUAUACUGCUCCUACAUGGUGUAACAAUACAUCAUGUAGAUGUAUAUAAUGAACAGACUAGGUCUAUACUGCUCCUACAUGGUGUAACAAUACAUCAUGUAGAUGUAUAUAAUGAACAGACUAGGUCUAUACUGCUCCUACAUGGUGUAACAUCAU